CUCUGGUUGCUGUGUGGAGGCUGGAGGAUCCAGGGAGCCCCCCAGGAGGCUGCUGCACUAGUCCAGCAAAAGAAAGAAGGAAUUAUGGGAGUAAGGACUAGAGACGGAAGGUGAGAAAAGACGGAGCGAGGAGGAAUCAGGAAUGGAAGCAGAGAAGCACAAGGACAGCUGAGAGAAGAGCACAAGGAGAAGAAGAGGAAAAGACCCUGUGUGUCCAUCACAGGGAAGAUGGAGGGGAUGCAAUGCCCUGGCGUAUAAGUGACAGAUUUCACCACCACUUCACAGCAACAUGAUGGAUCUUAAGACCUCACACAAGGCUGAGAAGGAAGAAAGAAAGAAGGAAGGAAGGAGAAGGAAGAAAGGACAGGAGGAAAGAAAGAAGAAAGGGAGAAAUUGAGAUAUAGGACCCAACACGUCCUACAAAAAUAUAUAUAUCCAUACAAAUAGCAGCACAUAUUUUAUAAUUGAAAAGUACACGUCAAAACUGUAGAACGGUUGACUAUGGGACGAACGGAGCUGGGAUAUGGGGCUAAGAGGGAAGAAAUCAGAGAAAAUAAAGGCUUUCUCCUAC
rnacentral:lncRNA from 1 species